rnacentral:rRNA from 1 species
AUUGAACGCUGGCGGCAGGCCUAACACAUGCAAGUCGAACGAGUGGCGGACGGGUGAGUACUGUCUGGGAACCUGCCUGAUGGAGGGGGAUAACUACUGGAAACGGUAGCUAAUACCGCAUACCAUCAGAUGUGCCCAGAUGGGAUUAGCUUGGUGGUGGGGUAACGGCUCCCCAAGGCGACGAUCCCUAGCUGGUCUGAGAGGAUGACCAGCAACACUGGAACAUAGACACGGUGAAGACUCCUACGGGAGGCAGCAGUGGGGAAUAUUGCACAAUGGGCGCAAGCCUGAUGAAGCCAUGCGGCGUGGAUGAAGAAGGCCUUCGGGUUGUAAAGUACUUUCAGAGGGGAGGCGUUACCCGCAGAAGAAGCACCGGCUAACUCCGUGCCAGCAGCCGCGGUAAUUC